UGGGGAAUUUUGCACAAUGGAGGAAACCCUGAUGCAGCGACGCCGCGUGAUUUAGAAGGCCUUCGGGUUGUAAAAAUCUUUUCUAUGGGAAGAAAAUGACAGUACCAUAGGAAUAAGGACCGGCUAAUUACGUGCCAGCAGCCGCGGUAAUACGUAAGGUCCGAGCGUUGUCCGGAAUCAUUGGGCGUAAAGGGUACGUAGGCGGGUAAGCAAGUUAGAAGUGAAAUCCUAUAGCUCAACUAUAGUAAGCUUUUAAAACUGCUCAUCUUGAGGUAUGGAAGGGAAAGUGGAAUUCCUAGUGUAGCGGUGAAAUGCGCAGAUAUUAGGAGGAAUACCGGUGGCGAAGGCGACUUUCUGGCCAUAACCUGACGCUGAGGUACGAAAGCGUGGGUAGCAAACAGG
rnacentral:rRNA from 1 species